CUGCUCUCCACGAAGCCUGUGAAGCCCGGGUCGGUUCGGAGCUGAGUGAGACCUGGAAUUCACGUGGUCCAAACUCCUUACCAUGGGUUGAACCGUGAGCCUCCCUCCGCUCCCCUCCACCCCAAUUCUGCCACAAAGAUAUGUUCAUUACCUAACCUUUAGAACCUGUGAAUGUGACCUUAUUUGGAAACAUAGCCUUUGCAGAAGUAAUUGGGAGUCUGAGAAGAAGAGUUCAUCCUGGAUCAUCUGGGUGGAUCCUAAAUCCAAUGUAAGUGUUCUUUUAAGAGAAAGGCAGAAGGAGACUUGGGAUAGAAGAGUGGACAGCAGUGAUGUGAAGACAGAAGCAGAGACUGGAGUUCUGCUGCCGCAAGCCAAGGAACACCUGCAUUCACCAGAAGCUGGAAGAGGCCAGGAAAGAUUCCUCGAGGCUUUGGAGGCCCUUUCCACAAGUUGGUGUCAGAUUUCUGGCCUCCGGAACUGGGAGAGAAU
rnacentral:lncRNA from 10 species